rnacentral:rRNA from 1 species
UACGUAGGGUGCUAACGUUGUUCGGAAUCACUGGGCAUAAAGAGCGCGUAGGCGGUCUGAUAAGUCAGGUGUGAAAUCCCCCGGCUCAACCGGGGAACUGCACCUGAUACUGUUGGGCCUGAGUGCAGGAGGGGAGAGCGGAAUUCCUGGUGGAGCGGUGAAAUGCGUAGAUAUCGGGAGGAACACCAGUGGCGAAGGCGGCUUCCUGGCCUGUUAUUGACGCUGAGGCACGAAAGCGUGGGGAUCAAACAGG